UUCAGAACAAGCACCUCCCAAGAAAAUCGGACAGAAAUCUCUUCAAAUUCGUGAUAUUGUAAAAACUUUUUUUUCCUUCAUGUUUGCAGGACUGAUUGGACUCAUAAUCAUUACAUGCUGUUUCUGGUAUUCAAGACUUCACUAAAAAUGUGUCCAAGUAUGUUUUAACGCCACUAUCUUCAACCAAUCAAAUCACAGCUUCGGUAA